AAAAAUGCAGAAGCAGUGUUCCUCAUGGGCUGUGCCAAACAGACUGAGGGUUGGAUUUAGCCCCCACCUCUUUCAUCAUAGUUUGCACAUCCUUGAUCUUUAAGGACUCUCAGGAAGCCUUGAUAAAGGAAUCUGUGGUAAGAUGAUACUGGGUUUAAUAUUUCCAUUGGUGGUGGAGAAACAAAGAUAAAUAAGACUGUUGUUUUUUUCAUCAAGGAUCUCAUGGUCAAGUUCAAGAUGAAAAUAUAUAAAUAAAUAAUGGUGACAGGGUAUAGUUACUGCAGUUACAGUUAUGUUUACUGGGUAUAGAGGUAAAACAAAGGAGUGAUAAUCAGCUCCAUGUCAAUGUUAAUAAUGACAUUUAGGCAAUAUGAUUAAAAAUUGAGUUUAUUUGAGCAUAAAACUUGAGGAUGGUCACACAGGAGGACACAGACUCCUGAAGGAUGAGGUAAAUGCUCCAAAGUGGAGAGGUUUGAGGGUCCUUUACAUAGGCAAGGCCUGGGGAUGCUUAACAGGGUUACAUCAUUUUUCGUACGAGGUUAGUGCAUAGUUAGAGCAAUUCAAUUAGUUAUAGGCAGUGUUUCUUUUUGGGGGAAGGGUAUAUUUAACAUUUCACAUUAAGGAUGUAAUGGUCAAAGGGUCUUUUAUCACAGUCAGCGGUCUUUUAUCCCUGGCAUCAUCUGGUGUGAUCUAGGAACAAGAAAAUAAGGAAGGAAUUUCAUGUAUAACAAAAGGUCAGUAAUUAAGAGGUCAAGCUUCAUGACCCAGUCUCCAAAGUCAACCUUCAGUGCCGAACAACGUUUAGAAGCCCCAAGUAGACAGACUAUCCAUUUUCUGUUACAUCUGCUUAGGUGGAUGAGAAGUAACCUCUAACAGUCAUUUGUUGGAGGUAGGGAAUGUAUUUUCAGCUAGCCUUUCUGGAAAUCUUUUAAGGAUGCUAAGAAGGUGACCACGUUUCUUAUCAGGAUGGCUCUAAACAUCAGGAUGACUCAACUUAUUUAUUUUAUAGGGUAUAAUCUUAAUUUGUUUCUCACAGAAAUAAACAUGGAUAUGUUUUUAAUCAGGUCUCUAUGAAAAUAAUUUAAAAAAUUUAAAGUUAUUUUACCUGCUACAUAAUAAAUGGAUUGUUUAUUCCACAGGUAUUUAGUACCUCCUCUGCUGUGCAGUGAGUUGUUUUACUAGCUGAAAAUAUUUGAAGGAGAUAAUGGUAUCAUUAGAUAAGUGAUGGAUUUUGCGGGGGAGGUGGGGGAAGAGAGAGGCUCUUCUAAGGAAAGCACUGCUUUUAACAAAGGCAGUAGGUAUAAUAGUAGAACUACCUUAGAUUUUAAAAAAUACUUUAUAGCUUUCAAAUUUCUUAUUUUAAUUAAUUAAAUUCAUGCAUCC
rnacentral:lncRNA from 1 species